UACGUAGGUGGCAAGCGUUGUCCGGAAUUACUGGGCGUAAAGAGCGCGCAGGCGGCUGGUCAAGUCCGAUGUGAAAGCUCCCGGCUUAACUGGGAAAUUGCAUCGGAAACUGAUCGGCUUGAAGGUGGGAGAGGGUAGUGGAAUUCCCGGUGUAGUGGUGAAAUGCGUAGAUAUCGGGAGGAACACCAGUGGCGAAGGCGACUACCUGGCCCACUCUUGACGCUGAGGCGCGAAAGCGUGGGGAGCGAACAGG
rnacentral:rRNA from 1 species